rnacentral:rRNA from 1 species
UACGUUCCCGGGCCUUGUACACACCGCCCGUCACACCAUGGGAGUUGGUUUUACCCGAAGCCGGUGCGGUAACCCGCAAGGGGCUAGCCGACCACGGUAAGGUCAGCGACUGGGGUG